rnacentral:RNase_P_RNA from 2 species
CGGGGUCGGAUGAGCGUUCACGGCCGCGGCGGAAGAGAGGAAAGUCCGAGCUCCAACGGGCAGGAUGCCCGCUAACGGCGGGGCGGGGUGACCCGACGGACAGUGCCACAGAAACAUACCGCCCCGAUGAGUCCCGGACGAAUCGGGGUAAGGGUGAAAAGGCGAGGUAAGAGCUCACCGCCCUGGUGGUAACAUCAGGGGCCAGGUAAACCCCAUCCGGAGCAAGGCCUAAUAGGGGGUCACGGGCGCCCGUCCCAGCCCCGGGUUGGCCGCUCGAGCCUGCCGGCAACGGCAGGCCUAGAUAGAUGGUCGCCAUCCGCCUCAGGCGGAUACAGAACUCGGCUUACAGGCUGCCUUGACCA